AUUGAACGCUGGCGGCAUGCUUUACACAUGCAAGUCGAACGGCAGCGCGGGCUUCGGCCUGGCGGCGAGUGGCGAACGGGUGAGUAAUACAUCGGAACGUGCCCAGUAGUGGGGGAUAGCUCGGCGAAAGCCGGAUUAAUACCGCAUACGACCUGAGGGUGAAAGCGGGGGAUCUUCGGACCUCGCGCUAUUGGAGCGGCCGAUGGCAGAUUAGCUAGUUGGUGGGGUAAAGGCCUACCAAGGCGACGCUCUGUAGCUGGUCUGAGAGGACGACCAGCCACACUGGGACUGAGACACGGCCCAGACUCCUACGGGAGGCAGCAGUGGGGAAUUUUGGACAAUGGGCGAAAGCCUGAUCCAGCAAUGCCGCGUGUGUGAUGAAGGCCUUCGGGUUGUAAAGCACUUUUGGCGGGAACGAAAAGGACUGUGCCAAUACCACGGUUCGAUGACGGUACCCGCAGAAUAAGCACCGGCUAACUACGUG
rnacentral:rRNA from 1 species